GACGAACGCUGGCGGCGUGCUUAACACAUGCAAGUCGAACGGAAAGGCCCUGCUUUUGCGGGGUGCUCGAGUGGCGAACGGGUGAGUAACACGUGAGUAACCUGCCCUUGACUUUGGGAUAACUUCAGGAAACUGGGGCUGAUACCGGAUAGGAGCUCCUGCUGCAUGGUGGGGGUUGGAAAGUUUCGGCGGUUGGGGAUGGACUCGCGGCUUAUCAGCUUGUUGGUGGGGUAGUGGCUUACCAAGGCUUUGACGGGUAGCCGGCCUGAGAGGGUGACCGGCCACAUUGGGACUGAGAUACGGCCCAGACUCCUACGGGAGGCAGCAGUGGGGAAUAUUGCACAAUGGGCGGAAGCCUGAUGCAGCAACGCCGCGUGCGGGAUGACGGCCUUCGGGUUGUAAACCGCUUUCGCCUGUGACGAAGCGUGAGUGACGGUAAUGGGUAAAGAAGCACCGGCUAACUACGUG
rnacentral:rRNA from 1 species